GGGGGCGUGGUGUAGUGGUUAACACGUCGGCCUGUCAAGCCGAAGAUCGCGGGUUCAAGUCCCGUCGCUCCCG
rnacentral:tRNA from 2 species